rnacentral:rRNA from 1 species
AGUGAACGCUGGCGGUAGGCCUAACACAUGCAAGUCGAACGGCAGCACAGUAAGAGCUUGCUCUUACGGGUGGCGAGUGGCGGACGGGUGAGGAAUACAUCGGAAUCUACUUUUUCGUGGGGGAUAACGUAGGGAAACUUACGCUAAUACCGCAUACGACCUACGGGUGAAAGCAGGGGAUCUUCGGACCUUGCGCGAUUGAAUGAGCCGAUGUCGGAUUAGCUAGUUGGCGGGGUAAAGGCCCACCAAGGCGACGAUCCGUAGCUGGUCUGAGAGGAUGGUCAGCCACACUGGAACUGAGACACGGUCCAGAGUCCUGCGGGAGGCAGCAGUGGGGAAUAUUGGACAAUAGGCGCAAGCCUGAUCCAGCCAUACCGCGUGGGUGAAGAAGGCCUUCGGGUUGUAAAGCCCUUUUGUUGGGAAAGAAAAGCAGCAGGUUAAUACCCCGCUGUUCUGACGGUACCCAAAGAAUAAGCACCGGCUAACUUCGUG